rnacentral:tRNA from 9 species
GCCGGUCUAGCUCAAUUGGUAGAGCAACUGACUUGUAAUCAGUAGGUUGGGGGUUCAAGUCCUCUGGCCGGCAC